UUACAGCCAUAUCACAUUGAAACAUCGGUUCCCGUACGAUCACCGAAGUUAAGCAACGUCAGUACCUAGAUGGGUGAUGGCUUGGGAAUACCAGGUGCUGUAA